GUUCUGUAUCUAUAAUUCUUAAAAUAAUUGUUAUGCUUUUUGUGAACGUUUAUCGUGAGUAAUUUAGUAAAUUGUUAGAAAAUUCCCCGGAAGUUUGCGGGGGGUAUGCUAGUUCUGAACGUCACAUGCUAAUGUAAAAAGCUGGUUUUUGAUAUAAAUAUGAACUUGAUUGAACAAAACAUGCAUGUAUUGUAUAACAUAAUGUCCUAGGUGUGUCAACACAGCUAAAUGCAGCACUAACCUUUGACGAUCUUCAUCAGAUGACACUCCUAGGACAUUAUGUUAUACAAUACAUGCAUUUUUCUGUUCGAUAAGGUUCAUAUUUAUAUAUAAAAACAGCAUUUUACAUUGGCGCGUGACGUUCAGAAAACAUGCAUGUAUUGUAUAACAUAAUGUCCUAGGUGUGUCAUCUGAUGAAGAUGACUUUACAGCGAAAACAAAACAUUAGAUUGUGUUAGGAGAGUACAUCGACACAAUAACCACAGACAUUUUCUAAGCAACUAGCAUGCAUCACAAAUACCCAAAACACAGCUAAAUGCAGCACUAACCUUUGACGAUCUUCAUCAGAUGACACUCCUAGGACAUUAUGUUAUACAAUACAUGCAUUUUUUCUGUUCGAUAAAGUUCAUAUUUAUAUAUAAAAACAGCAUUUUACAUUGGCGCGUGACGUUCAGAAAAUAUUUUGCCUCCAAUACUGCCAGUGAAUCAGCACCACAAUCUACAAAAAUACUCUUCAUAACAUUGAUAAAAUAUUAAACUGUCAUUCAAAGAAUUAUAGAUUAACAUCUCCUGAAUGCAACCGCAUUGCCAGAUUUCAAAAUAACUUUACUGGGAAAUCACACUUUGCAAUAAUCUGAGUACUGUGCUCAGAAAAAAACACUUGUUGGAGUCAUCUAAUUUAAUAAAUAGUAUUAGAAAUAUUCACUUACCUUUGAUGAUCUUCAUCAGAAGGCACUUCCAGGAAUCCCAGGAUCUCAACAAAUGUUGUUUUGUUCGAUAAAAUCCAUAAUUUAUGUGCAAAUAGCUUAUUGUUGUUCGCGCGUUCAGUUCAGCUACUCCAAAUGUGCGCGCGGAAAAUGUUACGAUGACAAAAAGUAGAAAAGUAAAAAAAUUAUUGUAUUUACGUUCGUUCAAACAUGUCAAACGUUGUAAAACAUCAAUCUUUAGGGCCUUUAGAACGUGAAGAUUCAGUAAUAUUUCAACUGGACGGUUCCUGUGUCUUGAAAAAGGUUUUGGAACGGAGGAUCCACCCUCAUGAACGCGCCCCAAUGAAGUGAUGUAUUCUCUGGCUGACCAAGUUCCCAGCCUUCUCAUUCGGUCUCUGUUCAUUGUAGAUGCUUCAAACAACUUCCUAAAGACUGUUGACAUCUAGUGGAAGCCUUAGGAAGUGCAAAAUGAACCCUAACUCACCGUGUGUUCGAUUGGCAAUGACUUGAAAGGACUACAAGCACGAGAAUUCUCACUUCCUGCUUAGAUUUUUCUCAGGUUUUUGCCUGCCAUAUGAGUUCUGUUAUACUCACAGACAUCAUUCAAACAGUUUUAGAAACUUCAGAGUGUUUUCUAUCCAAAUCCUAAUAAUAUGCAUAUAUAUGCAUAUGCAUAUUCCAGUUCCUGGGCCCGAGUAGUAGGCCGUUUAAUUUGGGUACGUUUUUCAUCCGGCCGUGAAAAUACUGCCCCCUACUCUAGAGAAGUUAAUGAAUUCCUACCCAUACCACGUGGAGCAUUGGCUACACGACUGGAAAUGGUUAAAAUCAUAGACACUAAUUACUAGUCUGCAGCGAGAAAUUAUGUCAACCUGGGAUACGAAGACCGACAACCGCCAAAACAUCUAUUCCAUAAGAACAUUUAUGAAUGGUACUCUGAUGUACCCGUUCUAACCACGAAAGACUUUGAUCUUCAGGGAAGCAGAGAGAGACGCUGAGGAACUGACUCUCCGCAGACAGACCGGAUUCCAACAGAAAUCAUGACGACACUCUAGGCGUAAAUAUAUAAUGAUUGCAAUUAUUCCCGAAUGAGUGAGCGUUCAUGUGCAAAGGUUUAGCAUUUCAAUUAAUAUAAUUAUCAACUGUGUAGUGAUUCCUUUUGUCUUUCCCGCAUGUUCCCAGUCCACACCCACUUCCCUUGGUCCACCAAGCCGUCAUAUCUGCUUAGCCCACUAGGGAACCUCCCUUAUCAUUUCCUUGUAACCAUAUCUACUGUUUGUUUGUUUAUGAAUUCUGUGAUUAGUUAGUUAGUCAAUAAAUGAUUAAGCCAAUUAGUGUAUGGAUGAUUCAUUGUAAAGACUGUGUUCGUGCAGAUAACCAACAAUUGUCCAAUUUCAAAAAGGCUUUACAACGAAAGCAAAACAUUAAAUUAUGUUAGGAGAGUACACAGCCCAAAAUAAUCACACAGCCAUUUUCCAAGCAAGCAUAUAUGUCACAGAAACCCAAAACACAGCUAAAUGAAGCACUAACCUUUGAUGAUCUUCAUCAGAUGACACUCCUAGGACAUUAUGUUAUUCAAUACAUGCAUGUUUUGUUCAAUCAAGUUCAUAUUUAUAUAAAAAAACAGCUUUUUACAUUGGUGUGUGAUGUUCAGAAAAUGUAUCCCCACCGAAAACUUCCGGUGAAUUUACUAAAUUACUCAUCAUAAACGUUGACAAAAUACAUAACAAUUAUUUUAAGAAUUACACAUACAGAACUCCUUUAUGCAAUCGCUAUGUCCGAUUUUAAAAUAGCUUUUCGGCGAAAGCACAUUUUGCAAUAUUCUGAGUACAUAGCUCAGCCAUCACGGCUAGCCAUUUUGACACCCGCCAACUUCGG
rnacentral:lncRNA from 1 species